ensembl:lncRNA
AACUGGCACUUCGACUAGUGCUUAACUUGCACUUAUAGCAGUUACAUUCCUGCACUUCGUUUUUAUUUCCUAUUUCGUUUUUCUAUUUCUUAUGUAAAGUAGUAUUUAUUGUUACACUAGGUCUCUAUUGCUCUUAGCUUGACUGUUCUAUCCCUUGUACGACGCUUUGGACAAAAGUGUCUGCUAAAUGACUAAAUGUAAUGUACACGAACACUGCAAAUGUAAGUGAAUAAAUAAAUAAGCACUAAACUCAAUCACGUUGAUAUAGCUAUAGUGGAAUAGAAUGGACACAUCUACAUCCUGCAACAGUCCAUCUCUGCACCGUUCAAGUCAUAGACAUAUCACUACGGUUGCGUGCCCUUAUAAGGAGCUGGCAGGGCGUGUAUGUAUGCAAAUUCAGGAGCACGAGAACGCGCUUUCAAUUUAAGAAAACUCUUCCGGGGGAGCACAGCCCAGAAAACUUCUGCUGCGUAGGACCACAUUUUCAAGCGUGCAUGAAUUUGGCGGAUGUCUUUUGCUUACGUUGUUUUUCCGAAGCCCGUGUGGAGAGUUUCCGUGUCUCAAGGCAGGCAGAGACCCAAUCCCCCAUGGUGUCCCUGUGGUCUGUGUAUGACCAAGCCAUGGAACAUACCGGCAAGGCAGUUGGAGAAGAGAACCUUGCUGCAGCUUUAAAAAUGGCCACUGACACGGCAGGCAGUAUGAUAACUGCAGCAAGCGGGCUCCUAGAUACCUUCUUCAAUGGACCCUAAAAGUACCUCAGGACAUAUAGAUUUCUCUGGUCCCAGUGAUGUCAUCUUUGCUGAGCCAAAAAGGAUUCCAGUGCAUAUCUCACAAAUGAUUGUAAUGGAAUCCAUUCACUUUGAAUAAGACUGUCAAUGGGAUUUUCUUUUUUUCAAGAUCAGUUUGUUUUAAGUAUUAAAGUCAAUAUGAUGAAUAACACAAUGAAGUCAUCCACUUUUAUUUAGGCACAACGCCCUCCUUCACAAACCACAAAACACAUUUAAAAGGAGUUCUGACUGAAGUGAAGAUUGAAUAAUGAGAGAAUAUUGACUGGUGUACUUCCAGACAAAUGAAUGGCUGUUAUGUAGAAUAACAUGAAAAACAUCUCUGGGGAAUUUAUCUGUAGUGUAAUGCGCUUCAAAAUGAGACAUUAUGGGAGUCCCUCUGAGCUGCACCAGUUGUCUGUACUUUGAGAUACAUAUCUGUGUGUACAGGCCUCAUCGACACC